UCCCUGCCGUUUGGAGUGCUCUGCCUCUGCCUCAUGCAAAAAGCAGGUCAUCCUCAAAACUCCAAAAGUAAAAUACCCAUUCGAAAAAUUGAAAUUCCAAAAUCUUUCUAACUUCAAAGAAAUUUCAUCAAAUGGUGAAAGCAUGAAUAUCCAAAUCUUGCUAGGAUUUAAGACGCAUCAUCGUCGUUGAGGCUAGGAUUUUCGGUGGGUACUGGGUUUGAGGGCUUUUCUGAUAGUCGAUCAUCCCGCUCUACAUCCGGUCGUUUGUGUAAGAUUUUCUAGGAGUAUGAGAAUAAGUUUGGUGGGUAUGAAUAUGAAAGUUUUGAUCACUACGAGUAGUGGGUAGGCCAUAAAUGAUGGGUUCGAGGGUUUAAAUUUCUCAUAUCCGCCUACCCCACUCCAUAUCCGUCUAAGAUUUGUCCGGACGGCUUAAAUUAACGCUUAGAAUUAGAAACGCAGUGAAUCGAUUUGUUAAAAAUGGAGAACGAACAUUUAAACCCUAAGUUUUGAAAAACUAAAUAAAAAUACGAAAUUUCAUCAAUGAAGUCUAAGAUAUGAAAAUUUGUACCCUGAAAAUGGAAAAUCUGUAACUUCGCAAGAAUGAAAGCUAGAAAUAAAAACGGGUCGGGUCGGAUUGGGCUGGGUUUUAAAGCCCAGUCCAUUUUCAACCCAUUUUCAUUUUACAAGGCCCAAUGCAACCCAGGUCCAUCUUUGUUUGAACCCGAUCCGGCCCUUAUCAAGCCCUUUGAACACCUCUUAUUUGGACCUUGGCGUCAUUGUAUAUGUAUUCCAUGAGUUAGUGAGUUCAUUCUUUCAAACUAGUCGAGUCGUUUUUAGAUUGGGUUGAAUGCCCAACUUGUGUUGAUUGAAGUAGAAGAUCCUCACUUUUGGAAAUAUGACUUUAAUUUUGUGUUGGAUUUUUGUAUUGUAAGCUGGCACAAGCUCUUCGAAAUUUCCUCAUCGCGACUUGUCUACUAGCUUGAGAUUCAUUUUGAAAGAUUAAAUGCCCCUCUACAGAAAGAUGCACAAAAUGGUGUAUCUUUAACCUUCGCAAUAUUCGUGUUAUUGUUGGCUAAAGAAUCCACUCUAUCUCAUUUACGUGUAUGAUUGCGUGUUAUAGACACCAAGCUAUAUUUGAUUGUUGUGCUUCAUCUUGAACUGAUAAUGUCGUGUGCGGAGUCUACUAAUUAUCUGAUCCAAUAUUGAAUAUGAUUUAAAGUCGAGUUGUUUCUUGGGUCACUUUAGGGAUAGUUGCUGCUUUGAUGCCAUAUGUUGGUGGAGAAAGUGGUUAACUUUGAUACAGAAGAUCCUCAUCCCAGAAAUAGCUUAAUUUUGUGUGAGAACUUGGAUGCUUUUCUUCUAAAAUAUCAUAGACCCCCUAAAAAUUUCAAGUAUUGUUUGGACAGAGGCCGCGCGUACGCAGGCCCCCACUAUCACAAAUUAUGACGUAGACUCUCCCAUUUGGGGAGAUCUUAGGCUGCUGCUCCUCCUUAAAGUGCAAUGGAAGUCAACAACCUAGGCCAUAAGCCUAUUUGAUCACUUAUAGACCCCAUCCAGAGGGAGAUGCACAAAAAAAGGUUCAUCCUCGUUUAUGUACAUGAUCAUGGGUUGUAGAUAGACUCCAAGCAACAACUGAGCGUUGUUCUUCAUCUUGAACUGAUGUUGUGCGACGUUUCUUCUCAGUACUGUAAACAGCUCCAACAGUUUAAAAGCUGAACAAUACCAAUUGUUGGAUGCUUCAGAGGCUGAAUAUUUUUUAAAAAGGCAAGAGUUUUGGAUACUGGAAGAUGUGAAGCUGAACGAGAAACCAGAAGGCGUGUGACAUUGAGACCUUCUGAGGAGAUCAGGAGAAUAUUGAGAGAGCAGAUGAGUAUACUUUAUGCUGAUACUGUACGUGUAAAAGUGAUACCACCAUACCAGAAGAAAGGAACCGAUUUCUGCAAUGUAAAACAGAAACAUUAGAGGCCGCGCGAACGCAGGCCCCCACUACCACAAAUUAUGACGUAGACUCUCCCAUUUGAGGAGAUCUUAGGCUGCUGCCCCUCCUUAAAGUGCAAUGGAAGUCAACAACCUAGGCCAUAAGCCUAUUUGAUCACUUAUAGACCCCGUCCAGAGAGGAGAUGCACAAAAAAGGUUGAUCCUCGUUUAUGUACAUGAUCAUGGGUUGUAGAUAGACUCCAAGCAACAUUUGAGCGUUGGGCUUCAUCUUGAACUGAUGUUGUGCGACAUUUCUUCUCAGUACUGUAAACAGCUCCAACAGUUUAAAAGCUGAACAAUACCAAUUCUUGGAUGCUUCAGAUGCUGAAUAUUUUUUAAAAAGGCAAGAGUUUUGGAUACUGGAGCGGUGAGUAUUUCUGCUAAUUUUGUUCCUGAUCUUGAAAUAUUGAUAUUGGAUAACAUCUUGCCACAUAGGGCCAAUUUAAACUGUAAACAGCUCCAACAAGGAAAUUUCUUGGAUGCCUCAAAAUCUGAAUAGCUUCAGAGAAGUAUUUUGUGCAGUCCUGUUUGUGUUUGAAGUGGGGUUAGCUCUUCCAUCUCUAAUAUAGCCUUAAGCAGUAACGGAGUUCCAGAAGUUCUUUUUACAUUGUAUUAUUUCUCGUUUUUCGGGAUUACGUACGCUCCUCCGUCCUAGACUUCGUGAAAGGAUGAUUAUUAAUGAGGCAUGACGUUUUGGAUUUAGGCGAGAUGCAAUAGUUUAUCUUUUGAGGUAAAGGAGGUGUUAUGAAUAUAGCAUUGCCGGUCCAAUCAAUGAGGUGAUUCCCGUUUCUGACCUAGUCACUCAGAAGCUUCCUUGAUUGUGUAUGAAGUACCUGUUCAUGUUACAAAGCCCAAUUUAUCAAUCUUUAUCCUCAUAUGCGACAUAGCGCCUUUUUGUUCUCAUUUCUCAACCUUCUUUGUUUCAAGGCUUCCAACUUCUUCUGAUGUUUUGAUCCUGCCUUAUGUUCUCAUCCUGAACGAACAUGAAGUGUGGAGUCUACUUGCUAUUAGGAUUUAAUGUGUUUUCUUAUCCCAAACCAUAUGUGAAACAGUGAUCUGAGUGCAAGCAAACAAAUAAAAAGAGAUUUAUGAAUGCUUUGAUACUCAUACCUUUCUCGGCCUUUUGGCUAAGAUCAAGUGUAGUAUCUGUUCUUAUCAGUUUAAUAUCUGAUACGUGGGUCAUUGACCCACAAUGAUAUUAAAUUUAUUUUUUAAGGGGGAAGGUCCACCACAGUAGCUUGCUAUUGGGGCCUUCAGGUGUCGCCCAUGUGUUGCACUACUGCAAGGGCCUGGCACGCCCCUCCGAACUAUUCUAAAUAUUUAAUUUUAACAUCAGAUUGGAAUCUUUAACAUCACUAUUAUUGCUUUAUAUUGGGGCCUCUAGGUGUUGCAUAUGUCCUUGCACUGUGCAAGGGCGCCCCAUACAAAUCAUUCAUUAAAUUACCUGGUUCAUGACUGACACAUAUCUGUUGAAUCAUUUAGUGAGAUAUAUUUAAAAAUUGGUAUGCUUAUUGGCCUAAGCUGUAAUGUAGCUUCAUAAUAAGGUGCUUGUCAUGUGCAAUGAUAAACAGAUCUUUAAAAUUGGUAUGCUUAUUGAACUGCACAUAAUCUCUUGUCAUGUAGCUUCAUAAUAAGCUGUAGUGUAGCUUUGUAAUAAGGUGCUUGAAAUAAUAACUGUCAUUAGUAGAAAUUUCUGGUUCUAUACUCUUCAAAUUGGUAAUGUUAGGGACACAUACUUGUUGUACAAGUAAUGACCAAUAUGUGUUGGUCAGUGUCGUGGAAGUAAAUUAUGAGUUUUACUUUGGAUUGAAACCACCAAAGGGAUUUUAGGAAUGGACGAAGCUCGUCAUCUUUAUAACUCACUUGCCUUUGAUACAUUGUGGACACUCAUGAUAUCUUAAGGUAGUGCAUGUGUAUACAUUUCUUACAACUGUGAAGUUGAACGAGAAACCAGAAGGCGAUGAGGACGUGAUUGAAUCAGAAUGCUAUGUGACCCCGUCUUUUGGGAAGAAGGGCUUUGAUUCUGUGAAUCAAGCAGAUUGUUAAUCUACAAUCUUUCUUGAUGUUGCGUCUAUGUUGUUGACUAGUUGCUUGUAUAUGUGACCCUUUGCAGAGAGGAGAUGCAAAAAAAGGUUGGUUCUUGUUUAUGUUCUUGAUCGUAAGUUGUAGAUAGACUCCAACCAAUAUUUGAGAGUUUUACUUAAUUAUUGUAAACAGCUCCAACAGUUGAACAAUACCUGAUCUUGGUUGCUUCAGAUGCUGAAUAUAUUUUAAAAAGCAAGAGUUUUGGAUACUGGAGAGGCGAGUAUUUCUGCCAAUUUUCCCUUCAUACAUAAUCAAUCGCAUAUCAUGUUUUACGUCUGCAUUGUGAGAAUAGCAUAAAUAUUAGUAUGUGAAAAUCACAGAAUAGUCUGUUGUCACAUCAUCAUUUGGAAUUCUGUUUGAGAAGUUAAGAGUGAAGCAAGGAGAGCUAGACAAGAUUUGACUUUUGUAUCCUGAGAUUACUUGGGAGUAGUUACAAAUACUACCGUCUGAAGAUACAGAUAUAGAUAUAGAAUAACUAUAUGAUAUCUGCUUGUUUGGAGCAGUAAAAAAUAAGCAGUACUUUGUUAACAACUAAUGAGCUACUUUGUCCCACAUCGAUAGCUUAAGAAUAAAUUUCCGUUUUUAUAUUGUUCAAAGGUUAGAAAAUGCUUGUCUCUUCGGAGACAUCUGAUAAAAUUGGAACGAUACAGAGAAGAUUAGCAUGGCCCCUGCGCAAGGAUGACACGCACAAAUCGAGAAAUGGUCCAAAUUUUU